rnacentral:rRNA from 1 species
GAUGAACGCUGGCGGCGUGCCUAACACAUGCCAGUCGAACGAAGCAUUUAGGACAGAUUACUUCGGCUUGUAGCUCGUUAUGACUGAGUGGCGGACGGGUGAGUAACGCGUGGGUAAUCUGCCUUGUACUGGGGGAUAGCAGCCGGAAACGGCUGGUAAUACCGCAUAAGCGCCCAAUGUUGUAUGACAUGGUGUGGAAAACAUCGGCGGAUGAAGAUGUACCGGGGUCGGAUGGGCUAGGUGGUGGGAUAAAAGCCUACGAAGGCGACGAGAAGUAGAGGGACUGAGAGGAUGAACAGCCACACGGGAACUGAGACACGGUCCAGACUCGGAGGGGAGGCAGCAGUGGGGAAUAUUGGACAAGGGGCGCAAGCCUGAUACAGCAAUACCGCGUGGGUGAAGAAGGAGUUCGGGUUGGAAAGCCCUUUUGUUGGGAAAGAAAAGCAGCAGGUUAAUACCCAGCGGUUGUGACGGUACCCAAAGAAUAAGCACCGGCUAACUUCGUG